UACGAAGGGUGCAAACGUUGCUCGGAAUUAUUGGGCGUAAAGCGCACGUAAGCGGCUUGGCAAGUCGGAUGUGAAAUCCCUCGGCUCAACCAAGGAAGUGCAUCCGAAACUGCUGAGCUUGAGUACUUAAGAGGAUCGCGGAAUUCCCGGUGUAGAGGUGAAAUUCGUAGAUAUCGGGAGGAACACCAGUGGCGAAGGCGACUACCUGGCCUGUUCUUGACGCUGAGGCGCGAAAGCUAGGGGAGCGAACGGG
rnacentral:rRNA from 1 species